rnacentral:rRNA from 1 species
GGGGAAUAUUGGACAAUGGGGGCAACCCUGAUCCAGCCAUGCCGCGUGAGUGAAGAAGGCCUUCGGGUUGUAAAGCUCAUUCGGCCGGGAAGAAAUCGUGCAGGCUAAUACCCUGUAUGGAUGACGGUACCGGAAUAAGAAGAACCGGCUAACUACGUGCCAGCAGCCGCGGUAAUACGUAGGGUGCGAGCGUUAAUCGGAAUUACUGGCCGUAAAGCGUGCGCAGGCGGUUUUGUAAGACAGGCGUGAAAUCCCCGGGCUCAACCUGGGACUGCCAUUGUGACUGCAAGGCUGGAGUGCGGCAGAGUGGGAUGGAAUUCCGCGUGUAGCAGUGAAAUGCGUAGAUAUGCGGAGGAACACCGGUGGCGAAGGCGGCUUGCUGGACAAAUACUGACGCUGAGGUGCGAAAGCGUGGGGAGCAAACA